rnacentral:rRNA from 1 species
GAUGAACGCUAGCGGCAGGCUUAACACAUGCAAGUCGAGGGGCAGCAUGACGGAACCUUCGGGUUUUGUCGAUGGCGACCGGCGCAAGGGUGCGUAACGCGUGAGCAACUUGCCCGUUUCAGGGGGAUAACCGGUGGAAACGCCGACUAAUACCCCAUAGUAUCAUGAUCAGGCAUCUUUUCAUGAUUAAAGAAUUUCGGAAACGGAUAGGCUCGCGUGACAUUAGCUAGAUGGCGGGGUAACGGCCCACCAUGGCGACGAUGUCUAGGGGUUCUGAGAGGAAGGUCCCCCACACUGGAACUGAGACACGGUCCAG